GACGAACGCUGGCGGCGUGCCUAAUACAUGCAAGUCGAGCGGGGUUUUAAAAGCUUGCUUUUAAAACUUUAGCGGCGGACGGGUGAGUAACACGUGGGCAACCUGCCUGUAAGACUGGGAUAACACCGGGAAACCGGUGCUAAUACCGGAUAAUCCUUUUCAACUCAUGUUGGGAAGCUGAAAGACGGUUUCGGCUGUCACUUACAGAUGGGCCCGCAGCGCAUUAGCUAGUUGGUGAGGUAACGGCUCACCAAGGCAACGAUGCGUAGCCGACCUGGGAGGGUGAACGGCCGCACUGGAACUGAGACACGGCCCAGACUCCUACGGGAGGCAGCAGUAGGGAAGCUUCCGCAAUGGACGAAAGUCUGACGGAGCAACGCCGCGUGAGCGAAGAAGGCCUUCGGGUCGUAAAGCUCUGUUGUCAGGGAAGAACAAGUACCGGAGUAACUGCCGGUACCUUGACGGUACCUGACCAGAAAGCCACGGCUAACUACGUGCCAGCCGCCGCCGUAAAAC
rnacentral:rRNA from 1 species